rnacentral:rRNA from 1 species
CAGCAGCCGCGGGAACACGGAGGGUGCAAGCGUUAUCCGGAUUUAUUGGGUUUAAAGGGUCCGUAGGCGGAUCUGUAAGUCAGUGGUGAAAUCUCACAGCUUAACUGUGAAACUGCCAUUGAUACUGCAGGUCUUGAGUAAAUUUGAAGUGGCUGGAAUAAGUAGUGUAGCGGUGAAAUGCAUAGAUAUUACUUAGAACACCAAUUGCGAAGGCAGGUCACUAAGAUUUAACUGACGCUGAUGGACGAAAGCGUGGGGAGCGAACAGGAUUAGAUACCCCUGUAGUCCCUGUCUCUUAUAC